GGGUAUAGUUCAGUGGUAGAACACCUGCCUAGCAUGCAUGAAACCCUGGAUUUAAUUUUCAGUACCAACG
rnacentral:tRNA from 1 species